UACGGAGGGUGCGAGCGUUGUCCGGAAUCACUGGGCGUAAAGGGCGCGUAGGCGGCCUGGUAAGUAGGGGGUGAAAUCCUGCGGCUCAACCGCAGGGCUGCCUUCUAAACUGUCAGGCUCGAGCACAGUAGAGGCAGGUGGAAUUCCCGGUGUAGCGGUGGAAUGCGUAGAGAUCGGGAAGAACAUCAGUGGCGAAGGCGGCCUGCUGGGCUGUUGCUGACGCUGAGGCGCGACAGCGUGGGGGAGCAAACAGGAUUAGAAA
rnacentral:rRNA from 1 species